rnacentral:tRNA from 1 species
AUAUAUAAAGUAAUUAGUUACAUUUAAUUUCGGCUUAAAAAUUUGAUUUUAUCAUAUAUAUA